rfam:Triticum urartu cultivar G1812 contig900835, whole genome shotgun sequence.
CAACUACUGCCUCCAUCCCAAAUUUGUUCACUUAGAUGUGUCUAGAUAUGGAUGUAUCUAGCACUAAAACGUGUCUCGAUACAUCUGUAUCUACACAAAUCUAAGACAACUAAUUUGGGACAGAGGAGGUAAUAG